rnacentral:misc_RNA from 1 species
UCCGGUUUAACACCGGCAGUCUCCCUAGAGUCCCCAACUUAAUGCUGGUAACUAAGGACAGGGGUUGCGCUCGUUGCCGGACUUAACCGAACAUCUUACGACACGAGCUGACGACAGCCAUGCAGCACCUAUCUCCACGCCUCCGAAGAGGAAGCCUCAUCUCUGAGGUUGUCGUGGGAUGUUAAACCCAGGUAAGGUUCUGCGCGUUGCUUCGAAUUAAACCACAUACUCCACCGCUUGUGCGGGCCCCCGUCAAUUCCUUUGAGUUUUAGCCUUGCGACCGUACUCCCCAGGCGGAAUACUUAAUGCGUUAGCUUUGGUACCCGAAGGGUUAAACUCUCCGGACACCUAGUAUUCAUCGUUUACGGCGUGGACUAC